rnacentral:rRNA from 1 species
UUUUAUGGAGAGUUUGAUCCUGGCUCAGGAUGAACGCUGGCGGCGUGCCUAAUACAUGCAAGUCGAGCGAACGGACGAGAAGCUUGCUUCUCUGAUGUUAGCGGCGGACGGGUGAGUAACACGUGGAUAACCUACCUAUAAGACUGGGAUAACUUCGGGAAACCGGAGCUAAUACCGGAUAAUAUUUUGAACCGCAUGGUUCAAAAGUGAAAGACGGUCUUGCUGUCACUUAUAGAUGGAUCCGCGCUGCAUUAGCUAGUUGGUAAGGUAACGGCUUACCAAGGCAACGAUGCAUAGCCGACCUGAGAGGGUGAUCGGCCACACUGGAACUGAGACACGGUCCAGACUCCUACGGGAGGCAGCAGUAGGGAAUCUUCCGCAAUGGGCGAAAGCCUGACGGAGCAACGCCGCGUGAGUGAUGAAGGUCUUCGGAUCGUAAAACUCUGUUAUUAGGGAAGAACAUAUGUGUAAGUAACUGUGCACAUCUUGACGGUACCUAAUCAGAAAGCCACGGCUAACUACGUGCCAGCAGCCGCGGUAAUACGUAGGUGGCAAGCGUUAUCCGGAAUUAUUGGGCGUAAAGCGCGCGUAGGCGGUUUUUUAAGUCUGAUGUGAAAGCCCACGGCUCAACCGUGGAGGGUCAUUGGAAACUGGAAAACUUGAGUGCAGAAGAGGAAAGUGGAAUUCCAUGUGUAGCGGUGAAAUGCGCAGAGAUAUGGAGGAACACCAGUGGCGAAGGCGACUUUCUGGUCUGUAACUGACGCUGAUGUGCGAAAGCGUGGGGAUCAAACAGGAUUAGAUACCCUGGUAGUCCACGCCGUAAACGAUGAGUGCUAAGUGUUAGGGGGUUCCGCCCCUUAGUGCUGCAGCUAACGCAUUAAGCACUCCGCCUGGGGAGUACGACCGCAAGGUUGAAACUCAAAGGAAUUGACGGGGACCCGCACAAGCGGUGGAGCAUGUGGUUUAAUUCGAAGCAACGCGAAGAACCUUACCAAAUCUUGACAUCCUUUGACAACUCUAGAGAUAGAGCCUUCCCCUUCGGGGGACAAAGUGACAGGUGGUGCA